rnacentral:rRNA from 1 species
GUGGGGAAUAUUGGACAAUGGGCGAAAGCCUGAUCCAGCCAUGCCGCGUGUGUGAAGAAGGUCUUCGGAUUGUAAAGCACUUUAAGUUGGGAGGAAGGGCAGUAAGUUAAUACCUUGCUGUUUUGACGUUACCGACAGAAUAAGCCCCGGCUAACUUCGUGCCAGCAGCCGCGGUAAUACGAAGGGUGCAAGCGUUAAUCGGAAUUACUGGGCGUAAAGCGCGCGGAGGUGGUUUUGUAAGUUGGAGGUGAAAUCCCCGGGCUCAACCUGGGAACUGCCUCCAAAACUGCAUGACUAGAGUACGGUAGAGGGUAGUGGAAUUUCCUGUGUAGCGGUGAAAUGCGUAGAUAUAGGAAGGAACACCAGUGGCGAAGGCGACUAACUGGACUGAUACUGACACUGAGGUGCGAAAGCGUGGGGAGCAAACAGGAUUAGAAACCCCGUAUCC